UUGCAGCCAAUUAAGCUGACUGUGCUCUUUUCCCUGUGGGGGCCUGGUGUCCAAUGGCUACAAACAGCAGCCUCCUCAGUAGUGUAUGCAGCCUGUUGCUUGUAUGGGUUGCCCUAAGGGACGUUGGAUUCAGCC